rnacentral:lncRNA from 1 species
AAGAUCAUGUCUGAGAACAAAGAUGCAUCAAAGAAGGAAGCAGCAUUUGCACUUGCUGCCCUUAUGGAAAUUCCAAUUCAGUACCGGGUGACCCAAAGCCUACAAUUUGGAAAGUAAGUAAUGAAAUAUAGAUCUGAUGAUUUUAAAUUAUAUUCAACGAUACAAAUCCCAAAUUAUUCUGGUGCAGUGAAAAGUCAAUUACCUACCAACGUAGAAGGCCUUUUCCUCCGCCUAAGGAAGUAAUAGAUCGUGACAAUGCAGUUCUAGCAGUUCCAAAAUUUGAAUCAGUUGAGCCAUCAGCUCCAG